rnacentral:rRNA from 1 species
UAUCGAAGAGGUCACACCCGUUCCCAUACCGAACACGGAAGUUAAGCUCUUCAGCGCCGAUGGUAGUCGGGGGUUUCCCCCUGUGAGAGUAGGACGCCGCCAAGC